rnacentral:lncRNA from 1 species
GACGGCGGAGAUCCGGCGGUGGCUUACCGGAAAGUUGGCCGGCGGCGACGGCGGAGCUGCGGCGGAGAACGGUGGUCCGGCGGCGGCGCUGCGGCGGAGAACGGUGUUCCGGCGGCGGCGCGUGUGUUUCACGCGCUCGCGCAGGCGAAUCUUCGGGAGGCGCGUGCGGCUUCGUCCGGGCUCCGUUCGAGGCGUGGUUGGUGUCUACGGCUUCGUCUCGACGAGAGGAACACGAUGAUGGUCUUGGAUGCACGACAUUCUCUACGGUUAGAGAGUUAUCGGCGAAUUACUAAACGGACGAAACUAAGCUUAACUGUAUGGCGGUUUCCGGCGAUUCUAAGCUGCAGCGAACGGUGGUGACGAGCUGAACGUGAUCACGGCACACGGUUGCUCCGGCGACGAGCUCAGGUGAGCUUUCUCUCUCUUUCUCUCUCUCUUUCUCUCUCUCUCUCUUUCUCUUUAAAGAAGUUGGGGAUGGUGGAGAUGGUGGAGAUGGUGGAGAUGGUGGGAGUGGUGGGGAUGGUGGAGAUGGUGGAGAUAGUGGGGAUAGUGGAGGUGGUGGGAGUAGUGGGUCAUUACAAUUCUCCCCCACUUAUAUGGAAUUCGUCCCCGAAUUCAUGUCAUAAGCUGACGAAACUGAUACACACCUGAGCAAUCCGUUCAACUGUGACAUCAUCAUCUAUAUGUCGAACCUAUGGCCGAAAUCCUGUUAGCUAGAGAGCGGAUGACAAUGAGUAACUCAUAGUCAAUAAAAAAAACAAUUGGAUUAGAAAGGAGUGAUACCGAACGGAAAGGUGCUAUUUAUUUAUUUAUAUUUUUUUUUUUAAAUUCCCAAAUCCCCGAAAAUAUUUUGAAAUCGUUUAAAACCGUCAAAACCGAAUAAAACCAGGUCUCCAAAAAUCGCCAUCCCGGGUCGGAGCCGGGACGGAACCCGCUCUGAUACUAAAUUGUGACACCCCUCACUUUCGAAAUAGUAAAAAUACUUCGAUAAAUACAAAUAUCUGAAAUAUCCAUAUAUAAAUAUUUGAAAGUCCACAUCCACGCAUGAAUUCCAUAAUAUAAAAUAAAAUCCGAAACAUAAGGUACGACAUAAACCGAGAAUCCAAAAUACGAAAUACCAUAACGAUAAAAGUCCAAAGGCCUAGAGGCCCGAUAACGAUAAAAUCGAUAAAACGUUAGAAGCCCAAAAGCCCAAUAGCACCGGUCCGAAAAAUCACUCCUGCUCAUCGGUCUCACCUGAAAGGGGGAAAUAAGGAGGGGUGAGCGACAGGGGAAUCGCCCAGUGAGGUAUGGGGGUAGUACUAAACUAGCUCGGGAUUUAACGGAGUAGCCCUCACCUUAGCAAUGAAGAGAAGUGGUAUAUAUGAACUCCAGCUGCUCAAAUGGACUCCAAAUCUGAAAUCAGAUCGAAAUUUCGAGUCAGAACGCCUUUCGAACGGUUUAAAACGGGUAUUUACGGAAAAGUCAACCCGCUGGUCAAAGAUUAAUUAUUUAAUUAAUUAAUUAAUUAAUUAAUUAAUUAUUUAAUUAAUUAAUCCGGUUUAUCCUAACCGAUUUCCAAUUGAUUUAAACCGACCGGUUUAGCCUAACCGAAUUGAAAUCAAUUCAAACCGGCUAACCAACCGGUUAACCGAGUCAACCGAGUUGACUCACCGGGUCGACUCGGCCGAGUUAGCGAGUCGCCGGCGAGUCACCGGUGUCGGUCACCGGCGGCGACGGCGGAGAUCCGGCGGUGGCUUACCGGAAAGUUGGCCGGCGGCGACGGCGGAGAACGGUGGUCCGGCGGCGGCGCUGCGGCGGAGGACGGUGGUCCGGCGGCGGCGCGUGGAACUCACGCGCGCGCAGAGGCGAAUCUUCGGGGGGCGCGUACGGCUUCGUCCAGGCUCCGAUCGCGACGCGGUUGGUGUCUACGGCUUCGUCUUGACGAGAGGAACACGAUGAUGGUCUUGGAUGCACGAGAUUCGCAACGGUUAGAGAGUUAUCGGCGAAUUACUAAACGGACGAAACUAAGAACUGUAUGGCGGUUUCCGGCGAUUCUAAGCUGCAGCGAACGGUGGUGACGAGCUCAACGUGAUCACGGCACACGGUUGCUCCAGCGACGAGCUCAGGUGAGCUUUCUC